UUAAAUUGAAGAGUUUGAUCAUGGCUCAGAUUGAACGCUGGCGGCAGGCCUAACACAUGCAAGUCGAACGGUAACAGGAAGCAGCUUGCUGCUUUGCUGACGAGUGGCGGACGGGUGAGUAAUGUCUGGGAAACUGCCUGAUGGAGGGGGAUAACUACUGGAAACGGUGGCUAAUACCGCAUAACGUCGCAAGACCAAAGAGGGGGACCUUCGGGCCUCUUGCCAUCAGAUGUGCCCAGAUGGGAUUAGCUAGUUGGUGAGGUAACGGCUCACCAAGGCGACGGUAUCCCUAGCUGGUCUGAGAGGAUGACCAGCCACACUGGAACUGAGACACGGUCCAGACUCCUACGGGAGGCAGCAGUGGGGAAUAUUGCACAAUGGGCGCAAGCCUGAUGCAGCCAUGCCGCGUGUAUGAAGAA
rnacentral:rRNA from 1 species